UACGGAGGAUCCAAGCGUUAUCCGGAUUUAUUGGGUUUAAAGGGUGCGUAGGCGGCGUUGUAAGUCAGUGGUGAAAGUUUGCAGCUUAACUGUAAAAUUGCCAUUGAUACUGCAGUGCUUGAGUACAGAUGAGGUGGGCGGAAUGUGUCAUGUAGCGGUGAAAUGCAUAGAUAUGACACAGAACACCGAUUGCGAAGGCAGCUCACUAAACUGUAACUGACGCUGAGGCACGAAAGCGUGGGGAUCAAAC
rnacentral:rRNA from 1 species